rnacentral:rRNA from 1 species
CCUACGGGUGGCAGCAGUGAGGAAUAUUGGUCAAUGGGAGAGAUCCUGAACCAGCCAAGCCGCGUGAGGGAAGACGGCCCUAUGGGUUGUAAACCUCUUUUGUCGGAGAACAAAACCCGGGACGUGUCCCGGACUGCGUGUAUCCGAAGAAAAAGCAUCGGCUAACUCCGUGCCAGCAGCCGCGGUAAUACGGAGGAUGCGAGCGUUAUCCGGAUUUAUUGGGUUUAAAGGGUGCGUAGGCGGUCCGUUAAGUCAGCGGGAAAAUUGCGGGGCUCAACCCCGUCGAGCCGUUGAAACUGGCAGACUUGAGUGGGCGAGAAGUACGCGGAAUGAGCGGUGUAGCGGUGAAAUGCAUAGAUAUCGCGCAGAACUCCGAUUGCGAAGGCAGCGUACCGGCGCCAGACUGACGCUGAGGCACGAAAGCGUGGGGAUCGAACAGGAUUAGAUACCCCAGUAGUC